rnacentral:rRNA from 1 species
GAUGAACGCUGGCGGCGUGCCUAAUACAUGCAAGUCGAGCGAACAGACGAGGAGCUUGCUCCUCUGACGUUAGCGGCGGACGGGUGAGUAACACGUGGAUAACCUACCUAUAAGACUGGGAUAACUUCGGGAAACCGGAGCUAAUACCGGAUAAUAUAUUGAACCGCAUGGUUCAAUAGUGAAAGUCGGUUUUGCUGUCACUUAUAGAUGGAUCCGCGCCGCAUUAGCUAGUUGGUAAGGUAACGGCUUACCAAGGCAACGAUGCGUAGCCGACCUGAGAGGGUGAUCGGCCACACUGGAACUGAGACACGGUCCAGACUCCUACGGGAGGCAGCAGUAGGGAAUCUUCCGCAAUGGGCGAAAGCCUGACGGAGCAACGCCGCGUGAGUGAUGAAGGUCUUCGGAUUGUAAAACUCUGUUAUUAGGGAAGAACAAAUGUGUAAGUAACUAUGCACGUCUUGACGGUACCUAAUCAGAAAGCCACGGCUAACUACGUG